rnacentral:rRNA from 1 species
CCUACGGGGGGCAGCAGUGGGGAAUAUUGGGCAAUGGGCGCAAGCCUGGCCCAGCAACGCCGCGUGAAGGAAGAAGGCUUUCGGGUUGUAAAGCUCUGUCAGCAGGGAAGAAAAUGACGGUACCUGACCAAGAAGCCCCGGCUAACUACGUGCCAGCAGCCGCGGUAAUACGUAGGGGGCAAGCGUUAUCCGGAUUUACUGGGUGUAAGGGGAGCGUAGACGGCAGGGCAAGUCUGGAGUGAAAGGCGGGGGCUCAACCCCCGGACUGCUCUGGAAACUGCCAGGCUGGAGUGCAGGAGGGGCAGGCGGAAUUCCUGGUGUAGCGGUGAAAUGCGUAGAUAUCAGGAGGAACACCGGUGGCGAAGGCGGCCUGCUGGACUGCGACUGACGUUGAGGCCCGAAAGCGUGGGGAGCAAACAGGAUUAGAUACCCCGGUAGUC